UGGCGGCAGGCCUAACACAUGCAAGUNGAGCGAGACCUUCGGGUCUAGCGGCGGACGGGUUAGUAACGCGUGGGAACGUGCCCUUUGCUACGGAAUAGUCCCGGGAAACUGGGUUUAAUACCGUAUGUNCCCUUCGGGGGAAAGAUUUAUCGGCAAAGGAUCGGCCCGCGUUGGAUUAGGUAGUUGGUGGGGUAACGGCCUACCAAGCCGACGAUCCAUAGCUGGUUUGAGAGGAUGAUCAGCAACACACUCCUACGGGAGGCAGCAGUGGGGAAUCUUAGACAAUGGGGGAAACCCUGAUCUACCCAUGCCGCGUGGACGAUGAAGGCCUUAGGGUUGUAAAGUCCUUUCAGCUGGGAAGAUAAUGACGGUACCAGCAGAAGAAGCCCCGGCUAACUCCGUGCCAGCAGCCGCGGUAAUACGGAGGGGGCUAGCGUUGUUCGGAAUUACUGGGCGUAAAGCGCACGUAGGCGGGU
rnacentral:rRNA from 1 species